rnacentral:rRNA from 1 species
GUGAGGAAUAUUGGACAAUGGGCGCAAGCCUGAUCCAGCCAUGCCGCGUGCAGGAAGACGCAUCUAUGGUGUGUAAACUGCUUUUGUACGGGAAGAAACACUCCCUCGUGAGGGAGCUUGACGGUACCGUAAGAAUAAGGAUCGGCUAACUCCGUGCCAGCAGCCGCGGUAAUACGGAGGAUCCAAGCGUUAUCCGGAAUCAUUGGGUUUAAAGGGUCCGUAGGCGGUUUAAUAAGUCAGUGGUGAAAGCCCAUCGCUCAACGAUGGAACGGCCAUUGAUACUGUUAGACUUGAAUUACAAGGAAGUAACUAGAAUAUGUAGUGUAGCGGUGAAAUGCGUAGAUAUUAGGAGGAACACCAGUGGCGAAGGCGGCUUUCUGGACUGUAACUGACACUGAGGCACGAAAGCGUGGGGAGCAAACAGGAUUAGAUACCCUAGUAGUCC